GAAAGGCAACGAAAGGAACAAGUCGAAGUGGCCAUCGCAACAAAGUUUGCAGCUCUUCCAUGGAGAUUUGGCCGUGGAAGUGUCAUCUGUGCACUGGAGGCCUUAUUGGAUCGCCUUGGCGUCUCUUCGGUUGAGCUCUACCAACUUCAUUGGCCAGGGAUAUGGGGCAAUGAAGGUUACCUGGAUGGCCUUGGAGAUGCUGUUGAGCAAGGUCUUGUGAAAGCUGUUGGAGUCUCGAACUACAGCGGUUGUUGUCUGACUUUG